rnacentral:rRNA from 1 species
GAUGAACGCUGGCGGCGUGCCUAAUACAUGCAAGUCGAGCGAACAGACGAGGAGCUUGCUCCUCUGACGUUAGCGGCUGACGGGUGAGUAACACGUGGAUCACCUACUUAUAUGACUGGGAUAACUUCGUGAAACCGGAUCUAAUACCGGAUAAUAUAUUGUACCGCAUGGUUCAAUAGUUCUUGACGGCUUUGCUGUCUCUUUUAGCUGGUUUCGCGCCGCAUUAGCUAGUUGGUAAGGUAACGGCUUACCAAGGCAACGAUGCGUAGCCGACCUGAGAGGGUGAUCGGCCACACUGGAACUGAGACACGGUCCAGACUCCUACGGGAGGCAGCAGUAGGGAAUCUUGCGCAAUGGGCGAAAGCCUGACGGAGCAACGCCGCGUGAGUGAUGAAGGUCUUCGGAUCGUAAAGCUCUGUUAUUAGGGAAGAACAAAUGUGUAAGUAACUAUGCACGUCUUGACGGUACCUAAUCAGAAAGCCACGGCUAACUACGUG